GAUGAACGCUGGCGGCGUGCCUAACACAUGCAAGUCGAGCGAGAACGUCUGAAUGACACUUCGGUAGAAUGAAGGCGGGGAAAGCGGCGGACGGGUGAGUAACGCGUANGUAACCUGCCCCUUACUCACGGAUAGCCUANGGAAACUGGAUUAAUACCUGAUGAAGCAGAGAUACAGAAGUAUUUUUGCCNAAGAUUGAUCGGUGAGGGAUGGACCUGCGUCUGAUUAGUGAGUUGGUGAGGUAAUGGCUCACCAAAGCGACGAUGAGUAGCCGACCUGAGAAGGUGAUCGGCACAUUGGAACUGAGACACGGUCCCAACUCCUGCGGGAGGCAGCAGUGGGGGAUAUUGCACAAUGGGCGGAAGCCUGAUGCAGCAACGCCGCGUGAGCGAAGAAGUCUUCCGAUCGUAAAGCUCUGUUCUGGGGGAAGAAACAAAUGACNGUACCCCGGAGGAAACCCCGCUAACUACUUGCCAGCAGCCCCGGGAAUACGUAAGGGGCGAGCGGUAUUCCGAAUUAUUGGGCGUAAAGAGUACUAAGUG
rnacentral:rRNA from 1 species